CAAUACGAGCAUCUGCAUCGAUCUGCUCUCUAGCUCCUCCAUAAAGGACACCAGAUUUAAUCAUCCUUAUUAUCCCAGAAUGCAUAUUGCUAUGGUUUGGCAAAGAGUUAGAUCUACUUUGUACAUCUUCUUCCUGUAUCUUCACUACAUCUUCUUCCUGUAUCUUCACUCCUAGUCUAGUUGUCAUGAAUGAGGACACAUCCAAAAUCAAUGGAAAAGAUAUAUGGCCCUAAAAUACCAUGAAGACAAAAU
rnacentral:lncRNA from 1 species